CCGGGUCCUUCGACUGCCCGAACCAAAACUGUGCACCUUUACCGUACUGUUUCCGCUGCGGCGGGCCGCUCGCUGGGGGAGCCCCGGGGCCGAGAGGCCUGGCCCGCCGAAGCGACAGUUUAUACCGAAGCACCACGCUCCGAAGCACGCUCUGAGAGGCACUGAAGCCUUUAUAGGCAAAACUUAAUUA
rnacentral:misc_RNA from 1 species